UUUGGUGUCAGUUGUACCUUCACCAUCAUUCAGCAAUUAACCUUUUGUUACAAAAUUGCUUGCUUUUGUAUAUGAGAACAAAAAUUAAACUUGUACAGCAGGUGGCACUCCCAGUCCUGCUUGGCUUUAGCCUGGUUUGAACCUUGGAGGAAGAGUCUUCCAGAACUGGAGUGUUUACUGGUAUUGAACAGCUGUCCUUCCCUUUUUUGGAAGCAGGUGAUUUUUAGCAAAGAAGUCAUUGGUCACUGCCAUACUACAAAGGCAGAGCAGUUCAAGGGAAGAUAAUUUGAAAAUAAAAUCAGUAAACUUAUGUGAGCGGCACAACUCACUGGCAACUUGGGAUAUUACCUGUAGUGUAGAUUCAAGUUGAGUCAACAGAAUGUCAAAAUAACCAAACUGAGUGCUGAGUCAAAUCCUUCAUCUCACAGGAAGCACUUUUUAAGGAACAGGCUGAAACAGAACUCCUGGAGCAUGUCAGGCAACUUGCUGGAAUUGCUUGUAGUACUUGAAGGCUACCUACUAUAUGCAGAACUUCUGUCCUUGGGCUAGAGUUCAGUGUUGAAACUCCGUAAUUUUAGGCUCUGGGCACAGCAAUCUCUGAUACAAAAAAAUAAGUAUAUCUGAUGAAAGCAAGAUUAGUUUGUAUUGGUUUUUAUAGGGAUUUACAACCAUAGAAACAGAUGUUCCAAGAGGAAAAUGUACAUGUCAUUUAAAAAAAUCACAGAAUGCAGUUCACAAUAACAAGAUUUUAUUAGACUUGCAUGUAAGUAGAUUGCCAGUCUAUCACCAAGUAAUUUUUAGGAAUUUCUCUUAGAUUUUUAUAUUAUUAUGUAUAGAAAAGAGCUCAGUCUGUCAAUGUUAAGGACUAUGUUUUGAUUUUUUUUUCACUUUAAGAAAUGAAAUAUCAAAAUCCAGAGAAACACAAUAUUUAAUCUUUGUGUAAAAGGUAAAUUGUUACACAGGAAGCCAGUUACUCUAAAAUGAGUUAAGCAUUCCUUUCUGCACCAAAAUACAGUUUGGACACAAGAUGAUGUCUGUCCUUCAUGCAAUGUACUGUCGUGUAUUUUCCCACACGCCUUAUAGGAAUAAGCAUAAUAAUAAACAGAUAAGCAGUAAGUUGAGUCAUUCUAGCCUUGCCAACAUUAUUUCUCAUUGUGCAAAUAAGGAAUACAUGCACACGCAACUGCUUCCUGUGAGACCAACAUGUACAGGAGCACCAUUACUGUUUGUUCUCCCAU